rnacentral:rRNA from 1 species
UAACAAGGAUUCCCCUAGUAACUGCGAGUGAAGCGGGAAAAGCUCAAAUUUAAAAUCUGGCAGUCUUCGAUUGUCCGAGUUGUAGUCUAGAGAAGCAUUUUCCGCGCUGGACCGUGUACAAGUCUCUUGGAAUAGAGCGUCAUAGAGGGUGAGAAUCCCGUCCAUGACACGGACUACCAGUGCUUUGUGAUGUGCUCUCAAAGAGUCGAGUUGUUUGGGAAUGCAGCUCAAAAUGGGUGGUAAAUUCCAUCUAAAGCUAAAUAUUGGCGAGAGACCGAUAGCGAACAAGUACCGUGAGGGAAAGAUGAAAAGCACUUUGGAAAGAGAGUUAAACAGUACGUGAAAUUGCUGAAAGGGAAACGAUUGAAGUCAGUCGCGUUAUUCAGAACUCAGCCUUACCUCGGUAUGGUGCAUUUUCUGUUUAACGGGCCAGCAUCAGUUUUGAUUGCCGGAAAAAGGUUAGAGAAAUGUGGCACCUUCGGGUGUGUUAUAGUCUCUAAUUGUAUACGGUGGUUGGGACUGAGGAACUCAGUACACCUUUAUGGUCGGGGUUCGCCCACGUUUGUACUUAGGAUGCUGGCGUAAUGGCUUUAAGCGAC